AUUGGAAACCUGCCUGAAUUCCCUGGGGUUGAGGUUCUGCCUAAAUAUCCUGGAACUUGCCAUCUACCAAAAUUCCCUUGAGCUGGGGGUCUACGUGAACUUUCAGGAAUUAGGAUGCUACCUGAAUUCCCUGGCAUCAGGGAUCUCCCCAAAUUUCCUGGAGCUGAAAUAUCCCGGAGCUGAGGAUCUGCGGAAAUUUUUUGGAGGAGUGGGAUCUGCCUUAAUCCCCUGGAUCUGGGGCUCUACCUGCAUUUCCUGGCUUUGGGGUUCUCCCUAAAUUCCCUGGAUUUGGGGAUCCACUUAAAUUCGAAACCUGCCAAAAUUCCCUGGGGGUUGGGGUUCUGCCUAAAUAUCCUGGAGCUGGGAUCUGCCUGUAUCUCCUGGAGCCUGCGAUCUCUCUAAAUUCCUGGAGCUGGCAGUCUAAGUGUCUUUCCUGGCUUUGGGGCUCUACCCAAAUUCCCUGGAUUUGGGGAUCCACCUAAAUUGGAAACCUGCCUAAAUCCCCUGGGGUUCUGCCUAAAUAUCCUGGAACUUGCCAUCUACCAAAAUUCCCUGGACAUGGAGGCCUAUGUGAAUUUUCAGGAGUUAGGAUGCUAUCUGAAUUCCCUGGUGUCAGGGAUCUGGUCAAAUUUCCAGGAGUUGGGAAUGCACCAAAAUAUCCCAGAGCUGAGGAUCUGCUGGAAUUCCCUGGAGGUGGGGGAUCUUCCUAAGUGGGAAUCUGCCUCAAUCCCCCAGAGGGAUUUAGGGGCUUUACUUGCAUUUCCUGGCUUUGGGGCUCUGCCUAAAUUCCCUGGAUUUGGGGAUCCACCUAAAUUGGAAAUCUGCCUAAAUUCCCUGAGGUUGAGGUUCUGCCUAAAUAUCCUGGAGCUGGGAUCUGCCUGAAUGCCCUGGAGUUUGUGAUCUCCCUGAAUCUCCUGGUGCUGGACUUCUGCCUAAAGCUGAGGAUCUACAGGUUGAUUUUGUUUGGUUUGAGGUUUUUUUCUUCCUUAAUUUAUGAAGCCAACCCUGGAAGGAAUAUGUGGGGGCCCGAGAGCAGGAAAAACCCCAAAUACCCCCCCAAAAAAUAAUAAGAGGAAGUCCCCAAUGCAGCAGGAAAAAGGAAAGAAGUGAGGAAACCCCAGCUGGCAGCAGCCAAAGUGGUUCUCAGAGGCCCAACAGAAAUUUGUAACUUCGUUUAAAUUUUCAAAAUAAUCUUUAUUUUUGGUUUUUAGUAUAAAAAUCCACAAGUUCAGUGCAGCACAGAGAGUCCGAGAGCUGAGCUCGGGAACAGUCAGGGACGGUCACACACACGCAGAACACAGAUUCGGAUUAAAGUGAAAUAUUUAAGAUAAAAUAAAAGCGAAUCUGAGCUCUUUCUUCA
rnacentral:lncRNA from 1 species